ensembl:lncRNA
CACUGAGGGACAUGGUCAGUGGGAGCGGUGGAGGUAAAUUUAAGGGCAUGCAUCUCUGGCUGGACUUUUCUGGAAGGACUUUUCUGCAGCCUUUUGCAUUCUCUAUGUUCAGAGGAUAGAAGCUGUAACCAUUCAGUUCUGCAAUCAGGCUUGGCUCCAGUGAAAAUAAAGUUGAAUUCCAACAUAAGGUAACCGGUAAGCUUUUGUGUGAUGGACCACCACCACCAAGAUAACCAGCUUUCAAAUAUGAGGAUAAUGAACACACUGUUUAAGUCCAUGGAACUCUGAUUUACUGUGGCUGAGGCUCUGGAAGAACUUUUUUUUUUCUCUUUGUUUUGUAGACUCAGUUUCAGAGAGGAGACAGACAGCUGGUGGAGUUGCAGAUUGCUUUGUCAAGGAACAACAAAGAUUCUGCUGAAGUUGAUAUUAGGCCAACAGGGAUUCUGUGGAGAGUUUCCCUUCAACAAGCAUAGCAUCUCUCAGAGAGUUCACAAGCAGGAGGAAUCAAAAUGUGGGAGACCAGGAGGUCAGGACAGCAUGCUUGAUUGCCUACAUGAAGAGUAACAAGCUUCUUCUCUGGUCCCAUGUGAGCCACCUGGAAACCAUUGAGGAGCACAAGAGCCCCAGUAUCAUCUCAGUGGAUGUUCCAGAGAAACUGUUUGAAUGUCUGUUCUAGAAAGGUACAUGAAUUUAUCCUGCAAUGAAUACAGAAGCAUAGGAGAUGGAGGACAGGACCUUGACCUGAACAGAUCUGAAUUUGUACCAAGUUAAUGCCUGUGUUGAUCUGUAACCUCGUCCAGCUGGAAACAAUGGGGAAAAAAAAAUCAGCAACAAAUACAAGAUCUGAAAGAAAAAAAAAGGCAAGAUUUGAAAGAGAGCCUACAUUUAUAAUAGUCAAGGCAGCUUUGAUAGAUGAAGGAAGAGUACUGCCCAGUACUGGAAGGAGAGAAAAAAAAAAAAGACUAACGCGCUAUGGAUUACUGAGAUACUCUACAGUAAA